CCAUAAGCCUCGUGGGUUUGGACCAAUAUGCCCAACACCAAACAGAACAUUCAUGAACCAAGUUUGAUCUAUUACCUGGCACCAGAACCUGUGAAGAAAUUCUCACCAUUCUUCGUUUCCUGGAGAAAAAUCAAAUCACACAUGGAUUAACUACAAUGAUACAUUUGAUUCGAAUCAGUAUUUAAAUAUCUUGUAAAGCGAGAACUUCAAAUGAUCAUAAGGUAAAUCUGGUUGUUAGGUUCUCCAAAUUGAUUAUGAUUUGAUUAAAUCAAGUUGCUAAAAGUUACUAUUUCUUUUGAUCCAUAGUGAUGCCUAAACAAAGUUUAAUAACUUAUGUCCUACAUUUAAAUUAGAAAGUCAAUGUUGACAUUCUUCGAAGCUUGAGUGAAGCCUUAAAAUUUAGCAACCACACAAUGAUGAAAUGAUGGUCUAGAUCUGCAGCCAGUAACUCUAAUUAAACCAUUAAAUCAAAAUAUUAAUUAUGACCAGGCAAUGGAACAACAUUCCAUUGGUAUUAAUAUCCAUAUCAUACAGCUACUUAAUGGAUGGUUGGGACACACAAAUUUAACACUGAUUUGAUUUGAAGGUCAAAACUAUCACAUUUGAAUAGCAGAUUCUUUAACUAAACAUUCCACUGAGAUCUCACAAAAUAGAGAAACUAACAUAUUUUGUGGUAUACGGUUUUGACCUGCAAUAAUGGCAAGGGUGCAAUUUGAUCCUGCUGCCAAUUCUCUAUCUUUUUCUGCUUAGCAUCUCGUCAG
rnacentral:lncRNA from 1 species